rnacentral:rRNA from 1 species
CAAUGCCUACGGGGGGCAGCAGUGGGGCAUAUUGCACAAUGGGGGGAACCCUGAUGCAGCGACGCCGCGUGGGUGAAGAAGCGCCUCGGCGCGUAAAGCCCUGUCAGCAGGGAAGAAAAUGUCGGUACCUGAAGAAGAAGCCCCGGCUAACUACGUGCCAGCAGCCGCGGUAAUACGUAGGGGGCAAGCGCUAUCCGGAUUUACUGGGUGCAAAGGGGGCGCAGACGGCGAUGCAAGCCAGGAGUGAAAGCCCUGGGCCCAACCCCGGGACUGCUCUUGGACCUGCGUGG